rnacentral:rRNA from 1 species
AAUGACAGUACCGGGAGAAUAAGCCCCGGCUAACUCCGUGCCAGCAGCCGCGGUAAUACGGAGGGAGCUAGCGUUGUUCGGAAUUACUGGGCGUAAAGUGUGCGUAGGCGGUUAUUCAAGUCAGAGGUGAAAGCCUGGAGCUCAACUCCAGAACUGCCUUUGAAACUAGAUAACUAGAAUCUUGGAGAGGUGAGUGGAAUUCCGAGUGUAGAGGUGAAAUUCGUAGAUAUUCGGAAGAACACCAGUGGCGAAGGCGACUCACUGGACAAGUAUUGACGCUGAGGCACGAAAGCGUGGGGAGCAAACAGGAUUAGAUACCCUGGUAGUCCACGCCGUAAA